UACAGAGGGUGCAAGCGUUAAUCGGAAUUACUGGGCGUAAAGCGCGCGUAGGUGGUUUGUUAAGUUGGAUGUGAAAUCCCCGGGCUCAACCUGGGAACUGCAUUCAAAACUGACAAGCUAGAGUAUGGUAGAGGGUGGUGGAAUUUCCUGUGUAGCGGUGAAAUGCGUAGAUAUAGGAAGGAACAUCAGUGGCGAAAGCGACUUCCUGGACCAGUACCGACGUUCAGGCACGAAAGCGUGGGGAGCAAACAGG
rnacentral:rRNA from 1 species